rnacentral:lncRNA from 1 species
AAUCAGUUAGAAGUAUGCAAAUGAAGGCAGGCGUCACCUCGACUGGGUCCCGGGAGACGUUAGCGCGCCCCCGCGUGGUCAAUGGUCGUUAUUGCAGAGGGCUGCAGCCCAGGAGCUCUUAUUAACGUGCUUCUAACGUGUUUGCUGGAGAGAUUGCUUACAAGCCUUUUGGAAACCACCGUGACUCGGAGACGCCUUUUGGAAGGCGCAGCCACCAGAGGGCAGCAGAAGCCAAGCAGACAGCCUCCCAGCUCCUGCCUGAAGCGGAGUGCAGGGCUUUCCUGAGUUCGGUGGUCCCUUGAAAGGGUCUGGCUGCUCAUCAGAUGGAGUCAGCAGAACCCCCCAAACCUCCCACAGGGCAGCAGAAGAAGCCCCGGGCUGGAGCCCCCUACAGGUGCUUCCAGGACUGAGUCUGGGCUCCCAACAGCCUCUGGAGCCCUGGAGGAGAAGGUGGAGAUCCUCCAUCAGCUGCAGCCCAGUCCUUGGUGCCGGAGAGGCUCCAUCCCUGCCUAAACCGUCUUCCUGGCCAUGUCUGUCGGGCCCUUCAUUGGCUUCCUGCCUGGGUUUUACAGAAUGGAUUUGUGAGGCCCCAGAGGAAAGCCGGGGUUGCCUUCAUGUACACAUUCCCUCCAGGAAUGCAGAUCGCA